UUAACCCUUCCUCUACUA
rnacentral:tRNA from 1 species